rnacentral:rRNA from 1 species
AUUGAACGCUGGCGGCAUGCCUUACACAUGCAAGUCGAACGGCAGCACGGGAGCAAUCCUGGUGGCGAGUGGCGAACGGGUGAGUAAUGUAUCGGAACGUACCUUUCAGUGGGGGAUAACGUAGCGAAAGUUACGCUAAUACCGCAUAUUCUGUGAGCAGGAAAGCAGGGGAUCGCAAGACCUUGCGCUGAUUGAGCGGCCGAUAUCAGAUUAGCUAGUUGGUGGGGUAACGGCUCACCAAGGCAACGAUCAGUAGCUGGUCUGAGAGGAUGAUCAGCCACACGGGCACUGAGACACGGGCCCGACUCCUACGGGAGGCAGCAGUAGGGAAUAUUGGACAAUGGGCGCAAGCCUGAUCCAGCCAUCCCGCGUGAAGGAUUAAGGCCCUCUGGGUUGUAAACUUCUUUUGGACGGGAACAAAGGCAUCACUGCGGUGGUGUUUGAGGGUACUGUCAGAAUAAGCACCGGCUAACUCCGUG